rnacentral:rRNA from 1 species
GACGAACGCUGGCGGCGUGCUUAACACAUGCAAGUCGAACGGAAAGGCCCCGCUUUUGUGGGGUGCUCGAGUGGCGAACGGGUGAGUAACACGUGAGUAACCUGCCCUUGACUUUGGGAUAACUUCAGGAAACUGGGGCUAAUACCGGAUAGGAGCUCCUGCUGCAUGGUGGGGGUUGGAAAGUUUCGGCGGUUGGGGAUGGACUCGCGGCUUAUCAGCUUGUUGGUGGGGUAGUGGCUUACCAAGGCUUUGACGGGUAGCCGGCCUGAGAGGGUGACCGGCCACAUUGGGACUGAGAUACGGCCCAGACUCCUACGGGAGGCAGCAGUGGGGAAUAUUGCACGAUGGGCGGAAGCCUGAUGCAGCAACGCCGCGUGCGGGAUGACGGCCUUCGGGUUGUAAACCGCUUUCGCCUGUGACGAAGCGUGAGUGACGGUAAUGGGUAAAGAAGCACCGGCUAACUACGUG